UACAGAGGGGGCGAGCGUUGUUCGGAAUUACUGGGCGUAAAGGGCGCGUAGGCGGCCCGCUAAGUCGAACGUGAAAUCCCCAGGCCCAACCUGGGAACUGCGUCCGAUACUGGCAGGCUUGAAUCCGGGAGAGGGAUGUGGAAUUCCAGGUGUAGCGGUGAAAUGCGUAGAUAUCUGGAGGAACACCGGUGGCGAAGGCGGCAUCCCGGACCGGUAUUGACGCUGAGGCGCGAAAGCUAGGGGAGCAAACGGG
rnacentral:rRNA from 1 species